rnacentral:lncRNA from 1 species
CUUAAUCAAUAUGGUCUUUAUAGUUUGCUACUUUCUGUUAAAUUCAAUUUCUUGUGGAAGUAUUGGUCAAUAUUAAAUGAGAAAUUGAUUAAUUUGGCUAUAGUAGUAAUUAAUUUGAUGUCAUUUGUAAGUUAUGUUCUUGCACUAUUUUUUCUAUGAUGGUUUUUUUCUUAGGUUAUGCAAAUUCUUCAACGUGUUGACUGAAGUUGUAUUUACUUUUGCUAGACCUGCCCAAUGUCUUGUAGGUGUUUCAUACCAGUGUAUCCGAAUACCUUGCUGACAUCUAUUUUUUUUUUUUGAAAACUACAGGAUAGUUUCUUUGCUAGCUUUGCUCUUGGAUGGGUCAUCACAAAUGGUGCUGGUCUUGCAUCCUACCCAAUUGACACUGUCCGGAGAAGAAUGAUGAUGACCUCUGGUGAGGCCGUCAAGUACAAGAGUUCAUUUGAUGCCUUCACUCAGAUCUUGAAGAACGAGGGUGCCAAAUCCCUGUUCAAGGGUGCUGGUGCAAACAUCCUUCGUGCCAUUGCCGGUGCUGGUGUCCUUUCUGGUUAUGACAAGUUGCAGCUGAUUGUGUUCGGAAAGAAGUAUGGGUCUGGAUCUGGUUAAGAAUGUCUUGUCUACCAAGCCAGAUAGCUUUUAGAUGGUGAUGAAAAUCUUUUUUUGAGUCUGAAGAACUUAAUUCGGCAAAAUUUUCCUUGAAUAAUUCAGUUAUAGGGGAGUUGAUCCCAAACAGAUUUUAACAAUGGGAUUGAUUUUUGUUCGCAUAAGCCAGAUUUUUACUGUGAGUGGUGUAAAUGCCACACUUAUUUGGAAUUUUAUUCAGAUUAUAUGCAUUUGUUUUUUUUUGUGUGUUAGCAAUUGUUUCGGUUCAUUUUCAUUUUAUGAUUCUGUUGUCAAUUGUUUUAGUUUAUUCUUUUCAUUUUACGAUUCUAAAGUUUUUGUUUUCCGGAACAUCUUAGGAAGUAAAGCAUUUUAAUUUCAGGAGCCAACUGUACUUCUGGUCAGUCUCUCUAGAAGAGUUGCUUUGCAUAGGAUAGGUGUGAUCUGUGCGAUCUGAGAAUGAACCCAAUUGGACGAUGAAGGUUUGAACCUCGCAUUCAUUCUGAAAACACAUUCAGACUUUGAGAUCAGCUCAACUUCGACAUCAUUACCACUCACCAACGAAGCUCCGGUUGAGGAACCUACUUAAUUAAGGAUCUAGGGAGGAACGUAUUACCGAGUGUGGUUGAUGAUUGACUCAUUGGAUACAAAUUUGUGGAUUUACAUGUGGAUAUGGCAGUCUUAUUUCUUUUAUUAGCUUGGGACAGACUACAUGCUGCCACACUAUUGGGAACAUCUAAAGUUGGGUUCUUUGUUAUAAUAAUUGUAAUAUGGUAACUGACCUGAUGUGAAACGAGUAUGUGAUUAUAUAAGAAAUCACACAAGGAUCAGAUGAAGUGAGAUCCUGUGAUAGAGAAAUUAAUGGUAGACAACAGCUCAUUUCGCUACUCUAUUAGCCAAGUCCGUUUUGUCUUGCUUUGGUUCUCAUGGUUUCGAAGACGAGACGAUCCACUGCUCUCCGAAUCUGGUCUGAUGUUUGUUUAUUCAAACUUCUGCGACUUUUCUCUGCGGUGGCGCUGUCACCCAAAUUGGAUUGGCUUCCUUGGUUUGACCAUGGAAAAGUCCUCCCUUUCAACCCUUAAAGACUCGUCAGCUCUUCGUCUUUGAGCAUUUCUGCCAAGGCCGAAGCCCCUCGCAGCCAUCAUUCGCUCUUCAUUUUCUUCACAGGUAUACGGAUUUCCUUCCCUUGCAACCCUUAGUUAUGAUGGAACUUCAAUUAUAAUCAGUUGAUAAUAUUUCCUGGUUUUUUCUUGUAGGAGAAGACGCAAUGGUUGAUCAGGUUCAACACCCCACUGUCAUGCAAAAGGUAGCUGGCCAGCUCCUUCAGCAAUCCAUUCAGGGUUACGAUACUGGCUUCCAAAGACAAGGGAUGUACCAGAGACGUCCUGCGUAUGGAAAUUACUCCAACGCUGCAUCGCAGUACCCUGUGAUGACAGCUUGCAGGGCUACCGCUGAUCUAUCAAUGAUCCCAUCAACUGCAUCUCCAGUUUUUGUGCAAGCCCCCGCAGAGAAAGGCCACUUUUUCGUUGAUUUCCUUAUGGGUGGUGUUUCUGCUGCUGUAUCUAAGACCGCUGCUGCUCCCAUCGAGCGUGUUAAGCUUUUGAUUCAGAACCAGGAUGAAAUGAUCAAGGCUGGUCGUUUGUCUGAACCCUACAAGGGCAUUGGUGAGUGCUUCUCCCGAACAAUCAAGGAAGAAGGAUUCAGUUCGUUGUGGAGAGGAAAUACUGCCAACGUCAUCCGUUACUUCCCCACUCAGGUUUGUGAUGUUCCUCUGUUUUUUUUUAUCUUCUUCUCUCGGGAAAAUAUUAUAUGCUGAAAGUGUUGCUUGUAAAUUCAUGGCAGGCGUUCAACUUUGCAUUCAAGGAUUACUUCAAGAGGCUAUUCAAUUUCAAGAAAGAUAGGGAUGGUUAUUGGAAGUGGUUUGCUGGUAACUUGGCCUCAGGAAGUGCAGCUGGUGCUGCUUCUUCUUUCUUUGUCUACUCUUUGGACUAUGCUCGUACCCGUUUGACUAGUGAUGCUAAGGCUGUAAAGCAGGGAGGAGAAAGACAAUUCAAUGGUCUGGUUGAUGUCUACAGGAAGACAUUGAAAUCUGAUGGUAUUGUUGGUCUAUACCGUGGAUUCAAUGUAUCAUGUGUUGGUAUCAUUGUUUACCGUGGUCUGUACUUUGGACUCUACGAUUCAAUCAAGCCUGUGGUCCUGACUGGAGGUUUGCAGGAUAGUUUCUUCGCUAGCUUUGCUCUUGGAUGGGUCAUCACAAUUAAUGCUGGUCUUGCUUCCUACCCAUUUGACACUGUUCGUAGAAGAAUGAUGAUGACCUCUGGUGAAGCCGUCAAGUACAAGAGUUCAAUUGAUGCCUUUGCUCAGAUCUUGAAGAAUGAGGGUGCCAAAUCCCUGUUCAAGGGUGCUGGUGCAAACAUCCUUCGUGCUGUUGCUGGUGCUGGUGUCCUUUCUGGUUAUGACAAGUUGCAGCUGGUUGUGUUCGGAAAGAAGUAUGGGUCUGGAUCUGGUUAAGUAUGUCUUAUCUGCCAAGCAAGACAGCUGUUAGAUGGUGAUGAAAAUCUCUCUUCUUUUUAGUCUGAACAACUUAUUUUAGCAA